CGUAGGAGGCUAGUGUUAGUUAUCUUUAUUGGGUUUAAAGGGUAAGUAGACGGUAAAUUAAACUCUAAACGAGUACUUUUUUACUAGAGUUAUAUGAGAGAAGGAAGAAUUUCUGGAGUAGAGAUAAAAAUUUGAUGAUACCAGGAGGACUGUCAACGGCGAAGGCGUCCUUCUAUGUAAUAACUGACGUUGAGAGACGAAGGCUUGGGUAGCAAACAGGAUU
rnacentral:rRNA from 1 species